ensembl:lncRNA
AAGAGACAACAACAGGUAAAGUUUCACUGACAGUGUGUAUGUAUAAACGUGUGAACAUUAACUCCACCCAUUAUCCCAUUCCUUCAACUUAUGAGAUCUGAUACAUUUUUAAAAGGAACCCUGACACUGAAGACUUGUUGGCCUUAACACGCAGUAAUUGCCCUCUCCUACUAAAAUAAGUUGUUAGAAGCACAUGCAAUAUGUUAAUUACUUUAAAAAUCCUUUAUAUUUAAUACAUAUUUUAACCUGCCGAGGCCACCAUUACAUGACAUGCGCAGUGCGCUCUGAGUCCAUGACGUAAAAUGUUUGAGCACUCAAAAGAAUUAGCUACUAGCCCCAGCAACAUGAAAAUAAUGCCACACUGUGCUGCUUUUGGCUGUAAUUUUCUAGGUCUUGUGUGCUGUGAUAAAGGGAAUAUCUGUAAAUAUAAUCAAACCCGGGCACACGGUGGCACACGGUGGUUAGCACGUUCGCCUCACACCUCCAGGGUUGGGGGUUCGAUUCCCACCAUGGCCCUGUGUGUGCGGAGUUUGCAUGUUCUCCCCGUGCUGCGGGGGUUCCUCCGGGUAUUCCUGUUUCCUGCCCCAGUCCCAAAACAUGCAUGGUAGGCUGAUUGUCCAAAAGUCUCCGUGGUGUAUGAAUGGGUGCGUGAGUAUGUAUGUGAUUGUGCCCUGCAAUGGAUUGGCAACCUGUCCAGGGUGUACCCCACCUUGUGCCCAAUGCUCCCUGGGAUAGGCUCCAGGUUUCACCGUGACCCUGAAAAGGAUAAGCGGUAUAGAAGAUGGAUGGAUGGAUAAUCACAUCCGUAAGCAUCUUGUUAGUGUGCAUUUUCUCAUAAAGUAAAGCUCCUGUAAAAUGAGCUUAAAACGCCUAGCCAAGGCAUUCCCAAAGUCAAAUUAAAGCUGUUCUUGAAUCAUUUGGAGUACAUGCAUGGUUUUGGUCUCUUUUCAAAGCUGGACUAAAUAUUUUGACAUAAUUGGAUUGUUUGGACCUUUGCCAGUGUAACAGGACUGUUUUUGUCAGGAUGUUAUGGAUCAGUGGAUUACUAUGAGGCUUAGGUGAGUUGCCUCCAUGUUGUAAAUGUUUGUUUGUAUGUUGGUGGUCUGACAGAGACGUUGAUUGUAGCUGCUGUUGUGAUUGUAUCUCAAAACGGUUUAUAUCAAUCGAAUCAAAAGAAUUUUAGCUUUCCAAAGAUAUGAAUAGCUUUGUACAUAGAGAAGCUGUGUAGCUAGCAUAGAUUUGCUCAUAACAUGGCGACAGCACGCUGGCGGGCCAUAAGAAUUUUAACAGGAUAAAGUAUACGACGGCGAGAUGGCUGAUAAUCUCUAAAAAUGAUUGAUAUUAGAAUACAUUUCAUCAUGAAACGAUAGUUUAAUCCCUAUGCUUACCUUGAACAACAAACGCUCUCGGUUAGCAUAGACGUGCAGUUGCUGCACAAACACCAUGGAUUUUGCCUCACUCUUGCCUCCUCACUUCUCUAAUCAUCUUCAAUUUAAUGUAUGUUUUGAGUAAUGUCUUCUAUUUUAGCCUCCCCGCUUAUGUUACGCUCAGGUUCAAAUUGAAAAGGCUGAAGACAUGUUUAUAUCGCUGUAGGGUUGCAGGAGGAUCACAACUAUUGCAACCAUUUGACGUCACUACUCAGAAUACAUUGCAAUGUAAACAGCAAUGGUGGCCUACGAGUGCAAGGAUUUCUGUUAUUUAAUAAAAACCCUGACAUCUAGAGUGUUUUUGUAAAGAGGAUUUAUAUAGCAGAUGUUAGCCUUAAUCUAAUAAACCAUACAAGUCUUCAUAGACUGGGCUCCAUUUAAAUACACAUCAGUAUAUUUUAUCAUAAUGUGCAUGUGAAUCAUUCAUUUGUAUGGUUCUUUCUCCCUCCCUGUUCUUCUCUGUCUCUACCACAAAAUGACAGAAGAGACAACAACAGGUAAAGUUUCACUGACACUAUGUGUAUAUGUCACAUAAUGCGGGUUAGGACGGAAGCAAGUGCAGGUAUGGCAGUUUAAUAAAAUAACAAGUCCAAGGGAUCAGGCAGAAAUCAAUAAACAAAGACAGGCAGAGCUCAGGCAUUCAGGCAAACAGUCCAAACAAGGCAAGGCAAAAAGAUGCGAUCAAAAACAAGAACAAAGUCAAAACCAGAAUAAACAAACAUGGUCUCAAGGCUUGGUAACGGCAGAGACAAAAUGUAACUGAGCGUAUUGCUUCACAAAGACAUUGUGUAUGAGAGUCUCUUUUAUGUGUGGUGUGAUUGUGAGUAUAAUUGGGAACAGGUGUCUCUGAUUAGUCCUCAGGAAAAGGUGACGUGUCUGUGUGUAGUUUUGUGAGUUGUAGUCGUUGGCCAUGAUUGUAGUGUGCAAUGCAUUCUGAAAAAUGGAGUCAUGAGUUUACCAUGAUAUGACAGUAUAUAUAAAUAUGUGAGCACUGCAUCCACCCAUUAUCCCAUUCGUUCGACAUAUAGGAUCUGAUACGUUUUUAAAUACACAUCAGUAUAUUUUAUCACAAUGUGGAUUUGAAUCAUUCAUUUGUAUCGUUCUUUCUCCCCCUCUGUUCUUCUCUGUCUCUACCACAAAAUGACAGAAGAGACAACAACAGGUAAAGUUUCACUGACAGUGUGUAUGUAUAAACGUGUGAACAUUAACUCCACCCAUUAUCCCAUUCCUUCGACGUAUUGGAUCGAAUACGUUUUUAAAUACACAUCAGUAUAUUUUAUAAAAAUGUGGAGGUGAAUCAUUCAUUUGUGUCCUUCUUUCUCCCUCUCUGUUCUUCUCUUUCUCUUCCUCAAAAUGACAGUAGAGA